rnacentral:lncRNA from 1 species
AGGAGCCUUUGCUUCGGGGCUGCGCAUCUAAAAUUGCCAGAGUAGGACAGCACAUAUUUGCAGGCUAACACAAGCAUUUCUGAAAGGAAAUGCAUUUGGAAACUGAGUGGUAUUGAAGCAUCUAUUUUUCUUGCUAGCAGCACAAUCUGCCACCAGGAAGGUUUUAAACACUUUCCUGACAGAGAGUGCCUGCCUGAAUUUUUUGGUAAUUAAUCAUGCAUAAUACUUUAAAUUCCACACAGGCGGCUGGCUGAAAACCCUCCAGGGAUUGCUGCAUUUGCUAUCCGAAAGUCAACUCCUAUGCCUUCGGAGAGUGAGGAAGAUCAGAGAGGGGCAUUUUUGCCUGUUUUAAUGUCGCCAUCAGUCACCAGGCAAGUCUGCAAUCUUUGCUGCAUCCUUCCAUGGUAUCGGCACAAGCAAGGCUAAACCAGGAAAUAUAAACAGUUGUCACUAAGUAUCUUUGGAGGAUUAGUCCGAGGACCUCCCUCAAAUACCAAAAUCCAGGGAUGCUCAAUUCCGUGGUACAAAAUGAAGUAGCGUUUGCAUAUAACCAAGAGUCUCACCCUGUUACCCAGACUGGAGUGAACUGGCACAAUCUCGGCUCACUGUCACCUCCACCUCCCAGGUUCAAGACAUUCUCCUGCCUCAGCCUCCUGAGUAGCUGGGAUUACAGAGGAGGAAAAUGAGCUGCAGAAGGAUCAAAUGACCUGCCUGAGGUGCCCUAUCUGUUGGCACAGGCCAGAGCACAUGGUGGAUGCAGGGGCACCCCCUUCCCUUCUCCUCCCCUCCGGCUCUUUGCUGACAGGAUUCUCUCUUGCCUUCUCUGAUGGUACCUGUGCUACGUGCCACAUCCUUUCCCUCAAUGAAUUUCAGGCAGUGGAAGGGGCCGCAGAAGUUCCUUGACUCAUGAGGCGAGGCAUUCAGCGGCCUCGUGACACCUCCCAGGAUCUGCAGUCAUUGGGCUGCACUUGCCAAUAGCAACACCUGGCAAAAAUAGCUAAGAAGCAGAGCGGCCUGGGCUCAGGAGCUGAGCAACCCCUGACUGGCCAGAUGGAGACUGUGUUGAGCUCUGCCCAAGCCCUGUGAUCCUGGAAAACAGUGAAGUUAAGGAGCCAUCUGCAUUCUAGGGAAUGGCCCACUGCAAAAAAUAGCCUUCCUUAUAGGACGUAGAGGACUCAUGAUGUCCCCUCAUUUAUGAUGAGCCAACACACAGCCCUUCCAAAUUCCGAUUCUUUGCUUCAUAACUGAUGAGCUGUUUUGUUCCCACUGGUCAAUCGGAACAACAUUCUUGCUAACCAGAUUUUGGUUCAGCUCUUCUCCCUCCCCAUGUACCUGCCCUGUGUCCUGUCCUCAUCCUGAGCCAGCACACACCCCUCCUUAGUAGCUCCUCCUGCAGCAGGCUGACCUCGGACUCUCCCUGAUCCAUUGUCCAAAUAUAUCACCCUUUCACCCUACAUCCUCACACCCCAUUCUUUCUAGUUUUGUUCAUUCCUCCCUGUGAAAGAUGAACCCUCUUUGCCUAACCCCGGACCUGCUUGCAGACUGCUAUGAUGGCCAGAGUGUCCCCCCUACUGCAAGAGUCCCUUCUGUCCCUUGCAACAUCUUUUAAAUAAAAUCUCUCUUUACCAAGC